GACGAACGCUGGCGGCGUGCUUAACACAUGCAAGUCGAGCGGUAAGGCCCUUUCGGGGGUACACGAGCGGCGAACGGGUGAGUAACACGUGGGUGACCUGCCCUCAGCUCUGGGAUAAGCCUGGGAAACUGGGUCUAAUACCGGAUAUGACUCCAUGACGCAUGUUGUGGGGUGGAAAGCCUUGUGCGGCUGAGGAUGGGCCCGCGGCCUAUCAGCUUGUUGGUGGGGUGAUGGCCUACCAAGGCGACGACGGGUAGCCGGCCUGAGAGGGCGACCGGCCACACUGGGACUGAGACACGGCCCAGACUCCUACGGGAGGCAGGCAGUGGGGAAUCUUGCGCAAUGGGCGAAAGCCUGACGCAGCGACGCCGCGUGAGGGAUGACGGCCU
rnacentral:rRNA from 1 species